GGAUUCAUAAACACAUAGCAUGCGAAACACACACACAUUGUGGGAUUCGUACACACAUUGUGGGAUUCGUAAACACAUAGCACGCGAAACACACACACAUCGUGGGAUUCGUACACACAUAGCACGCGAACCACACACAUUGUGGGAUUCGUAAACACAUAGCACGCGAAACACACACACAUCGUGGGAUUCGUAAACACAUAGCACGCGAAACACAAACACAUUCACCAAAUGUGUGUGUGAAUUGUUUUACGCGCAUUUGUAACGUGCUUCCAAUUACAAAUUCCCACUUACGAAUACAAAUUCCCACUUACGAAUGUGUGGAUCGUUUUGAUACCCGUCAUGCGCAACUGAGAAGAACACAUGCAUUUUUUUAACUGGAGCCCGUCUUCAGCCAAUCAGACGUCUUCUUCUUAAACAGCCAAUCACAAGGGCUGGGCUGUUUCGUUACGUCACUGCUGUGCGCCUUCAAGUCCGGCUGGAGAUUCCUUUUAGACUACAACGCAGUUCAUGCGGUUGUCGUGCGGUUGGUGUACAACAUGGAGAAGAGGUUCCAGGAGAUUUUCAAUUUUAUGUCUAGGGGUGAAUUCCCUAAUUUAUAGUGAAUCUCAGAAAUGUGCUUUAAGAAGAUAUAUGCAGAAGCUCAAACUGAAGGUCCCAAAGAGAAGCACGAUCACUGUUUAAUGAAGUACACUCGGCUUCAAUUGGUGCACACACAGGCACUGUUAAAACCAGAUCCUCAAUGUACUCCAGAAAUUAUUGGGAUGGCAUGACGGUGGACAUUGACUGAUGGGUCUCUGAAUGCGACGGAUGUCAGAGGACUGGUAACUCUUUGGCUGUGUGUGACACAGCCAUUACAAAGCAUUAAGGUGUCUGCUGUUUGGGAGUUGGUUGGGAUAGACCUGACUGGGCCUCUCCCAAAAACCAAGGAUGGCUUUCAGUACAUUCUUACUGCCACCGAUUAUUUUUCCAAACACAGAUGCCCCCAAAGAAUCCUGUCCGACCAAGGAAGAGAAUUUGUCAAUUAGCUCAACGAUAACCUUUGUGCCUCCUGUGCAUUGAAAGGAGUGUUACAGCUGCAUAUCAUCCUAAGACGAAUGGGCUGGAUGAGAGGACAAAUAGCAAACAUAAAACGGCAAGUUGUUGUUGGUGUUCUAAAAUGUAUAUCUAAUUGUACCCUUCUACUUCGUACAGCUCUUACAAAAUUGGUGAACGACCGACAGGAUUUGUUUGGUGGUUUGGCCUAUUCAGUAGAUAAUUUUGACCGGAUGGUCAUCUGGUCAAGUGCCGUAAAUAAUAACUUUUUUGAUUUAACAAUGUUGUGUUUUCAGUUAAAUUACUGUGGGCUGCAGAGGAUCAAGGCAAGGUGGAGGCUGUCGUUGGACCGUAUAAAUUAUAUGACACAUCUUUUCAUACGCUAAAAGGCAACGGCUGGCUGUCUGAUGAAGUCAGUGGGAGCAAUAAGUGUUUAGCAAAUAACAAAGAUUCUUGCCUUUUGCCAAUUUUUUUAUUUUGCUAUGCAAGUAUUUGAUGCAUACAUGCAUAUCCUCAUUGAAAGGCAGCAGCCAAGUGCUGGAUAUAGUUUUUCUCAAUGCAUUUAUUUUUUGCCGGAGUAUAGUUGUAAUGUUGUUACCCCUUUUUUUAACAGGAGCCCAUUCACCAACUCUCUGCUGUGGUAGCUGGGAGUCUGCUUUUGGGAAAAUUUCAGCCUGUUAGAAAGGUAAUCCAUUUCAUGCCAAUAUUUAGCUAUAUUAUUUUAACGCCAGUAACCCAAAAUAACAAUAAUUUGGUAUUGUAUGUUCUUCAGAGGAAAUUCCCUGUUGAAAAAAAAAGUGUAUUUGUCCUGUCCUGUCCUGUAUGCGCUCAUUGGAUUUUAGUGAAUUACACAAAGGAACUAACCUUUUAUAGAUUGUCCACAUUUCUAAGAGAACACUGGUGAUCAACGAUCCCUUGAGUGACGAGGACAAAUAUGAGCAAAAUCUUGCGGAAUUGGAGGAACUUCUUGAGGUUGGCGGGCCGUGAGUUCCAAAUAGAAACUUGGACUACCAAAACUGUGGCCCAUAACAAGCAGCAGAACAACAGUAGCUGUGGGGUUUUCACAUUAAAGUUUGCGGAAGAGUAUAUGGCCAAUGGAGAUCUCAGGCACAACCAGACCCACCUUCCCGAAGUUCUGAAGGCUCGAGGAGAUCUAGCCUGUGCCCUCCUACAGGCUGGGAGUCUGAGAUGUCUAUUUAAAUUUAAAAAAUGUCUCAAAACUUACUUGGUCUCCUCACCUCACAUAAUUGAACUCCUGAUUGCUCUCAAUGUCACUAUUUACUUUCAAAGGCAUCCAAAGAACAGAUCUGAGGAUUUGCUGCUGCGCUUUAUCCUCUCUUGCCAUCAUUGAUCACUUAUUAGGUUUGUCGCAAUAAAAAAAAGUGUUUAAAAAGGUAGUAAAAUUCAUGUGGCAGGUCUUAACCCCUUAAUGCCUGCAAUAUGAAGCAAUUGUCAGAGAAUCACAAAAUGUGAAAAAUAAGGUCUUAAACCUUUUUUUUUCCAAAUUUGUAAAGAAAAAUGUGUAAUAAGCGCUCUAAUAUCUAUUUUCCUUGUUAAAUCCUGUUUUUCUCAUGGAACAUGCAGAUGCAUGAGUUGACUUGCAUCCAUUUUUUUUUUUUUUUUUUUUUGAGGAAAGAGUUCUAAAUCCUAAGUGUAUCAAAUGUGAUUCAUUUGGCAAGAAAGCUCUGUUGCUCCAAGUCUUUCAAAAAAUAUAUUUUUUUAUAUCCGUAAUAGACUACCAUCCUUUAAAUACUGUCACUGUAGGUAGCAUUUUUAACAGGCUUAUAAUGUCUAUUUUUUUCCUUUUAAAAUGGUCUUAAAUUGGUUUAAGCAUAGACAUCACAAUCAUACAUUAAGAAGUCUGAAUUUUCCCAAGUAUGACUUUCAAAUAGGCUUGAAAUGGAGAAAGUAAUCUUAAAAAGAUUUAUUUAGCGGAAAAAAAGCCUGUUAAAAAUGUGCCACAUAUAGUACAGUAUUAGACAUCUAAUCUUGCUCUCAUCAUCCCUCUGCUGAGCGGUUCAAUGAGUUUUUCACCAGUUGACAUCCAAUACAUUUGAAGUGCAUGGGAGGUCCUCCCACUCAAAAUGGAUGGGACGUCUUCAGCUGUCAAUGACAGAGAAAGGCAAAACCGUUAAACGUAUGCUACACGUACGCUACAUUUGUUCGACGGGACACCUUGCAUCGAUAGUCCCCGCGGUCGAGUUGAGCUGUCAAAAACGGGGCUCCUACUUUUACAAAAGCUCCCCAUUUGUCACUUGUCACUCAGUACACCG